rnacentral:lncRNA from 1 species
ACAAUCCACAAAAUAGAAAUCACAGGUUACAUGUUCAUUGUGAAUCUGCAAAGCGGGGGCACUACUCAUUGUUGUCACUCACGGGUAGAAGAAGCCAAUGGAGGCUCGAUUUGGACAUGAACUUCCCAGGGACUAGAGAAUGCGGCGCUUAAAACUUCUGCUAAAUUAUGUGUUUCCUUUGUGCUUCCAUUUCUUUGGCCACAGCAAGUCACAUGACAUGAUAGGAAACACAACCCUCCCACAAAGCCAGUGGAGAACUGGAAUCUUUGCAAAUGGCCCUCAAGCCUGUCAUCUAUGUGCAUGGUAACAGGAGAGGGAAUUGGAAAGGUGAGUUAGGGGCUGCUUUCUGAAGUUGUGUUUGCAAAACACACAAACCAGUUUAAUAUGGUCAGGCUUUGUGUCCCUGCCCAAAUCUCAUCUUGAAUUGUAAUCCCCAGAUGUUGAGGGAGAGACCUGGUGGGAAGUGACUGAAUCAUGGGGGCAGUUGCCCCCCUGCUGUUCUCAUGAUAGUGAUGAGUUCUCAUGAGAUCUGAUGGUUUUAUAAGGCAGUUUUCCCUGCUCUUGCUAGCUCUUCUCUCUCCUGCUGCCAUGUGAAGAAGAUCCUUGCCUCCCCUUUGUCCUCCAUGAUUGUAAGUUUCCUGAGGUCUCCCCAUCCAUGUGGAACUGUGAGUCAAUAAAACCUCUUUCCUUUAUAAAUUUCCAGUCUUGGGUAGUUCUUUACAGCAGUGUGAAAAUGGACUAAUACAUAGUUUUACCUUUAUUUUGUUUCUGUGAGGUGUUUUUCAGUUGAAGGUAUUCAUGG